GUUUUGAGCGCCUCUCAAAGAUGCACGAGGGGUAGACGCGCAAGACACGGAAAACUGGCGACAACUGGUUUUGGGGGCAGGUGGGUCAAUGAGUUUAUUAUCCCAGGGUCCUCGGGUUCCUUUAACAAACAAAUAGAGCAGUCCAACUCGUCUUUGACACCGGAAACUUUUUUUGCAGCGUGAAUUCACCUGACGAUGCGAUGGAAAUAUACAAGAGUUUUCGAACAGGAAGCUGGAGUGAAGGAAAAGCGGAACCGAAGCUGGUAGACAGAAGCAGGUCUGACCUCAGGCAUGGAAAUGCUGAAAAUAGGGAAGCGGUGAAGGAGGAAGAGAUGAGAUGAUGUCGUCAGGAACCAGUACCUCCAGAGGAGGAAACCAGCAGACCUGGGAACGGCUUCACCCGCGUGCCUCGCAUAGCUUAGCGGAGGCCGCCGCCAACGUCUGUUUCAGCGAGACGGGCGGUAUGCGGUGGUGGAGUGGGAGGAGGAGGAGGAGGAAGAUAAUUUGUUGGAAGAAUGUUCUGCCACAGAUACGCUGUCGAAGAAUCCCCCCAAAAAACCAGCAAAUGAGAACUCCCCAGUAGAAAGAAGGAAAAAAAACACUGAACUGUGGGCUGUGUAAAACAGACCCCCUUCUGUUCUGCUAAGAGGCCGCAGCUGCUCAGGUGCCUGAGGUAAUGAGGGGUUUGACUGAUCCCCAGGUCGCUCGGCACACCCAAUCGGAGUGGGCCGGGAAAGCAAGCGGAGGAUCAAAGCGGAUGAACUGGGAUCAGGCAGGUGAAGGGACACCUGAGCCUGGGUCCCUGGGCUU